GAACUGGCUGACGAGAUUUGGCCGUUUUCCAUGUCUUAACACCCUUCACACGGGUGGGGUCACAGGUUCAAUCCCUGUCGCGCCCACCA
rnacentral:tRNA from 1 species